AGGCUCCCCUCGGCGGGGCUGAAUGAUCAAAACUGGUGGAGCGCAGUCGGGUGGGAUGGGCAGGCGAGAAGGCCGUUUUCCUUGUCCCGGCCUGCGGGUCCCUCCCUGAAAAGCAGUGUCAGAUGGUUACUGAUUAAUAUUUUGGAGAGGCCGCGGCGGCGGGCAGCGGGAUAAAUUUGAGGAAAAAAGUUCGGCCUCAGGAGGGCAGUUUCAAGUUGCCCUUCUUGGAUCCUCCUGCGCUGGUUUCUAGGC